CAGCAGCCGCGGUAAUACGGGAGGGGCAAGCGUUAUCCAUCAUUACUGGGCGUAAAGAGUCCGUAGACGGUAAAGUCAGUUACUAGUUAAACCUUAAAGCUUAACUUUAAGUUAGCUAUUAAUACUUCUUUACUUUGAGUUUUAUACAGAAAAGUAGAAUUUUAUACGAAAGGGUAAAAUCUAUAAAUAUAUAAAGGAAUGCCAUUAGCGAAAGCGACUUUUUAGUAAAAACUGACGUUGAGGGACGAAAGUGUAGGUAGCAAACAGGAUUAGAUACCCUGGUAGUCUACACUGUAAAUUAUGAGUGCUGUAAUUUAAUGUAAAAGAAAUCCUUUUAUUUAGAUUUUUAAGUUAACACUAUAAGCACUCCGCCUGAGGAGUACGAUCGCAAGAUUGGAACUCAAAGGAAUUGACGGGGGCUAUCACUAGUGGUGGAGUAUGUGGUUUAAUGCGAUAAUCCGCGCAAAACCUUACCAAUUCUUGACAUAAUAGCUAAAUACUAAUAUUUACAAUUUUAGUAAAUAUUAGUAGAAUUAGAAUUACAGGUGUUGCACGACUGUCGUAAGCUCGUGUUGUGAAAUGUUUGGUUAAUUCCUUUUAAACGAGCGAAACUCUUAUCUUUAAUUAAAUAAUUUACCAAUUUUAAAAUUUUUAAAAGUUUUUUAAAAGGUUUUAUUUGAGACUGCCAAUAAUAAGUUGGAGGAGGGUGAGAACUAAGCCAAGUCAAUGUGACCCUUAUGAAUUGGGCUACACACGUGCUACAAUGGAGAUUACAGAAAGUUACAAUUAAAUUUUUAUUUUUUGUUAAUCCUUAAAAAUUUCCCCAGUUCGGAUUGUAAGCUGAAAUUCGCUUACAUGAAGUUGGAAUCACUAGUAAUCGCAAAUCAGAACGUUGCGGUGAAUAUGUAAACUAGCCUUGUACACACCGCCCGUCACAUGCAGAGAGCUAAUUUUUCUUGAAAAUUUAACUUUGUUAAGUUGAUUGAAAAUUUAGUGAUUUGGAUGAAGUCGUAACAAGGUAACCGUA
rnacentral:rRNA from 1 species